rnacentral:rRNA from 1 species
AAGCAUAUAACUAAGCGGAGGAAAAGAAACUAACCAGGAUUCCCCCAGUAACGGCGAGUGAAGCGGGAAGAGCUCACCUUGAAAAUCCGGCCUUCGGGCCCGAGUUGUAGUCUGGAGAGGCGUGGCCUGCCGCUGUCCGCGGCAAAGUCUGAUUGGAAAUGAGCAUCAUGGAGGGUGAUAAUCCCGUUGAAGCCGCGGUAUCAACCAGCGCGCGUAAGGCCCGUUUUCGGCGAGUCGAGUUGCUUGGGAUUGCAGCUCAAAGUGGGUGGUAAACCCCACCCAAAGCUAAACACGGGGGGGAGACCGAUAGCGAACAAGUACCGUGAGGGAAAGAUGCAAAGAACUUUGAAAAGAGAGUUAAAGAGUGCCUGAAAUUGCUGAGAGGGAAGCGAAGGAAAGUAGUGCCGGUUGCGGGUGACCUUUUUGAGUUCCCUUCGGGGGCUCGGAUAUGUCGCUCGCCUUUGUCAGGGGAGGCAGUGAGGCUUUGCGGGAUGAUUGGGGUCGGAAGGUAGCCCUCUUCGGAGGGCGGAUGAACGGCCCUGCUUAAUGCGUCGCGGGCCAGGUGACCCUCGUUGGAUGACCUGGCGAAUUGCUUUUCUUUUCCCCGUCUUGAAACACUGACCAAGGAGUCUAACAUGCCCGCGAGUACAGGGGUGGAAAAACCCGCGUGCGAAGUGAAAGUGACCGUAGGUGGGCGUUGCCCCAUCUACCGACCAUGUCCCUCCGGGGGCGAUGUUUGAGUGUGAGCGUGCAUGUUGGGACCCGAAAGAUGGUGAACUAUGCCUGAAUAGGGCGAAGCCAGGGGAAACUCUGGUGGAGGCUCGUACCGAUUCUGACGUGCAAAUCGAUCGUGAUAUUUGGCUAUAGGGGCGAAAGACUAAUCGAACCAUCUAGUAGCUGGUUCCCUCCGAAAUUUCCCUCAGGAUAGCUGCAGCCUAUUUCUUUGUCAGUUUUAUCAGGUAAAGCGAAUGAUUAGAGGCUGCGGGGGAGUAACUCCCUCGCCCUAUUCUCAAACUUUAAAUGGGUAAGGUACCGGGGUCGCUUCGUUGGACCCCUGGUCUGUCGAAUGAAGGUUGCUAGUGGGCCAGUCCGGGUAAGCUGGACUGGCGAUGCGGGAUGAACCGAACG